CUACUAAACUUAUGCAUAAGAAACUAAAACUGUGUUACUGCUUUUAAUUAUUUUAGGUAGUUCAUAUUCCAAGAUGAAAGACAAAAAGAAGAGAAAAAGGAGGUGUCUGUGGACAACAUUUGGAGGAAAUAUUGCAAGCUUGGUGAUCAUCAUUUUAUGGAGCACAACCUUUCUUCAUUCAGGAACGUGCAACUUCAGGAUGGCCAAAGACAAGACAGUGACCUUGGAGAAGGAUAGUUUUCCAACUAUUUGGGCUUGGUUGGAGAGAUCCACCCUAUGAUAGCAGUAAUCAAGGAAUACCUAUGUCUGUCCUAAGGUAUCAUAUGUAAAGCAUUUCAAGUUACCUUUUGAGGAGGAGCAGAUGAGCAGAUGUACUUGGGACGGUC